GAAAUUUUCCAGAGCAUUCCUAGCUAGCUUUACUCAAAGAUUUUUUUUUUCAAACUUGACAAAUUGAGUGCCCAUGAAAAUCUCUUACAAUGUUGUUUUGCAAUGUCUUAUUCAAACCACCUCAUUUGAAAAGCCAGUAUAUGAUAUUAAUUAAUUUUUUUAUUACCACGCUUCUUCUGUUUUUUGAUUUAUUCCCUUUUCAUACGUUUCCUGUCAAUUUGGAGGUUAUCAAUUACCAUUUUUGGGGGGGUUCGUAUUACUUUCCCGUCAAACCAUAUCUUGUACACAGAAUUAGCAUACAGGUGUAAUUUAUGACCAUAUCAAUUGAUUGUAUUUGUUUAUUAUUGCGAUAAGUGGCCCCGCUUUUUGGAACAUGUACAGGUCCUAUAUGGCAGCCAUAAGGACCGCUUAGGACCUGCGCCAAUAAAUUGACAGUUUUUGAUAAUUAACUCAAUAACCACAAUACAGGUGCUUGAUCGUAACUUGUAUCCAUAUGCGUAUUUAUCAUUUGUAUAUGGUUUAUGAAUAAUCAUACCAACUGAGCAUGGUCCUUUUUAUUGUUACUUAGGUACAGAUAUUUGUUCUUAUAAAUAUACGCAGCAUAUAAAAAUUUUAUAUCCUCAUCUUUAUACGGGUAAUCCGAUUCUCAUCAUUUCUAUAUGUAAUAUGCUGUUGUCGGCUUAGAGUAUGCAAUCAAAAUGGCGUCUGUGUGUGCACAUAUUAUGUAUAUGUUCUCUUGCCAAUAUAUAUUGUUGUUUUUUCCUUAACAUUCCGGAAACGCUCCGAUAUACGGAGUCUUGAGUUGUGCACAACAAGACAACCCUGGCUAUCCCGGGUAACUUACAUGUACACGUACUUGUUUUUUUGUAACAUUAACGUCAAUCUCUAACAAUUUAUUAUUGAUAUGCUAAUGUAAAUGUUAAUUAACGCACCUUAAAGAAAACGACAAAGUACAGAGUACGAAUCUUAUAUGUUCAAAGUAAUGUCAAACUAACUCUUCAAAGCUGCCAUAAGUUUUUGUGUUGUAAUUGAACUGUCAAAUUUUUCGAAUUGAAUGCAAACCAUUCUUGGCAAGCUGCACAUCUCUUAUUGCAAAAUCAAAAGCCGUAUUUAUUUUGCUUGUUUUCAUCCAUUCAUGUGCAUAUUACUCAACAAUCAUGGAUAUUCACUUCUUUGUAAAUACAUAAAUGUAUGUUUGAUAAAUGACUAUGUUAUUGUUUUAUUUUUUGAACAAAUUAAAAUGUUAUAUAUA
rnacentral:sRNA from 1 species